AGCACGGGAGAGACUAGCCGCAAGGCUGGCGCCGAAGGAGCAACCGCCCCGGAAACUCUCAGGCCAAAGGACCGGUUG
rnacentral:ncRNA from 1 species